GCUGAAAUCAAGAGCCUGAUGCUCAACCGACCAAGCCGCCCAGCGCUGGAGUAGUGGCCCCCAAAAGAUGUAUCCAUGGUCCUCGUUUCCAAAUAAAGUAGCAUUUACAAAUC